rnacentral:other from 15 species
UGCUCCCUGGGUUGUGCGCCAGCUGGUAAUGUCCCUGUGCCGAUAUUUUUGACUUUAGGGCAGGUGUUUUACCGACAUUGAGCAGGCUCGGCUCGUACCGAGAAGCCUUAGGAAGUAAUCGCAGGCCCGCCUUGAACCUACGGUUCAAGGGCUACACCGGCAGCGGCAUUCCGGGGAGCAU